CAGCCGCCGCGGUAAAACAGAGGGUGCGAGCGUUAAUCGGAUUUACUGGGCGUAAAGCGCGCGUAGGUGGUUUGGUAAGAUGGAUGUGAAAUCCCCGGGCUCAACCUGGGAACUGCAUCCAUAACUGCCUGACUAGAGUACGGUAGAGGGUGGUGGAAUUUCCUGUGUAGCGGUGAAAUGCGUAGAUAUAGGAAGGAACACCAGUGGCGAAGGCGACCACCUGGACUGAUACUGACACUGAGGUGCGAAAGCGUGGGGAGCAAACAGGAUUAGAUACCCGCGUAGUCCCUGUCUCUUAUAC
rnacentral:rRNA from 1 species